rnacentral:rRNA from 1 species
UACAGAGGGGGCAAGCGUUGUUCGGAAUUACUGGGCGUAAAGGGCGCGUAGGCGGCCUGUUAAGUCGGACGUGAAAUCCCCUGGCUCAACCCGGGAACUGCAUCCGAUACUGGCAGGCUUGAAUUCGGGAGAGGGAUGCGGAAUUCCAGGUGUAGCGGUGAAAUGCGUAGAUAUCUGGAGGAACACCGGUGGUGUAGACGGCUCACUGGACCAUAACUGACGCUGAGACACGAAAGCGUGGGUAGCAAACAGG